rnacentral:misc_RNA from 1 species
GUAGGUGAACCUGCGGAAGGAUCAUUAAUCCAGGCUCGAACCCCCCGCGGUGCAAGCUGCAGGGGGCUAGGGCCGCCUUUAUACCCACCCUUUGCCUAUGUGUACCGCUAUCGCUUCCUCGGCGGGCUUGCCCGCCGCUAGGAACCAACCAAACCCUUUGCAUUAUACAUGAAAAUUUCCGAUACAAACCAAAAUUAUUACAACUUUUAACAAUGGAUCUCUUGGUUCUG